rnacentral:rRNA from 1 species
UACAGAGGUCUCAAGCGUUGUUCGGAUUCAUUGGGCGUAAAGGGUGUGUAGGUGGCGCCGUAAGUCGGGUGUGAAAUUUCGGAGCUUAACUCCGAAACUGCAUUCGAUACUGCGGUGCUUGAGGACUGGAGAGGAGACUGGAAUUUACGGUGUAGCGGUGAAAUGCGUAGAUAUCGUAAGGAAGACCAGUGGCGAAGGCGGGUCUCUGGACAGUUCCUGACGCUGAGGCACGAAGGUCAGGGGAGCAAAACGGG